GGAAUAUUGGACAAUGGGUGAGAGCCUGAUCCAGCCAUCCCGCGUGAAGGACGACGGCCCUAUGGGUUGUAAACUUCUUUUGUAUAGGGAUAAACCUACUCUCGUGAGAGUAGCUGAAGGUACUAUACGAAUAAGCACCGGCUAACUCAGUGCC
rnacentral:rRNA from 1 species